rnacentral:hammerhead_ribozyme from 1 species
AUCCGGAUGACGAGUCCUAAAUGGGACGAAACGCGCGUUUUGGGU